AUACGAGAGAAAAGAGGCGGAGAAGAAGGAGGAGGUGGCGCGAGGAC
rnacentral:sRNA from 1 species